AAAGCUGGGUCACUGAAGUCUGCCUUGGGAGCUCUACCUGGACCGUCAGAUCUUAGGCUCCAGAAGUAGAAGAGACCUUUCUGGGCACCUCAUCCGUGGGUCUGCCGGGCAGCGAUGAGCACACUGUGGGCUCAGCAUGGACCAACACAGUCCUAGCUAAAGGUUGAACGAUGGCCCUGAAGGACAUCUGGGUCCUAACGCCUGGAAUUUGACAGUGUUACUUUAUACGACAAGAGAUUUUGCAUAUGUGAUUAAGGAUGCUGCGCUGCUGGCUUUGAAGAUGGAGGAAGGGACCACAAGCCAGGAAUGCAGCUCCAGGGCUGGAAAAGGCCCAGUCACAGAUUCUCCCUGGAGCCUCUGGGUAGAGCGCGGUUCUGCUGACACCUUGACUUCAGCCCGGGGAAACUGAUUACAGACUCCGAGCUCCAGGACUGUAAGAGAGUGAAAGCAUGUUCUUUUAAAACAUCAAUUUUGUGGUAGCUGUGACGGCAGCCAUAGGCAACUAGUACAAUCAUCCCCCCAGUACAUAGUUGUAUAUUCUAGUUGUAGGUCCUUCUGCUUGUGCUGUGCAAGAUGCCGCCUCAGCGUGGCUUGAUGAGUGGUGCCACGUCCGCGCCAAGGAUCCCAACCAGCAAAACUCUGGGCCACCGAAACAGAGCGCGCGAACUUUUAACCACUCGGCCAUGGGGCCGGCCCCUGCAUUGUUUCUUGAUCUAUCAUAGAGGAGAAUUAAAACUUCUGCCCAAUGAUUGCGUUUUUGCUCAUUUCUUCUUGACCUUUAA
rnacentral:lncRNA from 1 species